AUGACACGACAAAGCAACAUCCGUCCGGGUUUGAUGUCUGCUUUGGAAAGGACCGCAGCUGGAACCAUGGGAUCUCAUCGUGACACAGCUGUUCGUGAUUUCACGGUGAUGUCUGAGUGCUUGGAGCUCCAGGUCUUCAAAGCCGCCAGCUCUGACAAUUCUGUGCUCCGCUCUUUGCUCCUUGAGCAUACACAAGGCUUCUGUCUGCCGUCUGAAUCUUCUCUUUCAGAAAUAGCAAUACGAUAUUUGAUGAUGCGUCACUACCAGGAUGCCAUUGGGCUCUUUGCCAACAUCCUCCUCUACAUCCAGAGGACCAUGAGCAUGUUCCAAAGGACCACGUACGAAUAUGAGAUGAUUAACAAGCAGAACGAGCGGACGCACGCACUGCUGGCCAUCGCUCUCACCAGGUAGCCCAUGCGUAGUGACGAGAGCGUUCACCUCUAACUGUGGGAGAAGCAUGGGGACAAGAUGCUGCGCACGCAGAAAGGUGACCCGCAGGUCUACGGGGAACCCUUCAGCUACUCCUGCCCCAAAUUCCUGUCACCAACCAUGACAAUUCCACAAGGAGCCUUUCCGGCAGCAGCUGAAGGUGUUUCCCCAACGAGGUGCAGCAAUUGACCCAGCUUUCAACUGUCUCCAGCUCCCUCCAGCUCUCCACCACCAUGCCUGUGGCCAAGCUGGCCGGCUUCCUGGACCUCACAGAGCAGGAGUUCAGAAUCCAGCUUCUUGUCUUCAAACACAAAAUGAAAAACCUGGUGGGGACCAGUAGCAUCUCCGCCCUAGACGGCAAAUUUCAGUUGGCCUCCGAAGUUGACUUCUACAUCGAUAAAGACAUGAUCCACGUCACAGACUCGCCAGGCCUGUAGGGAUUUCUUCAUCCGGCAGAGUCACAAUUUUGAAGAGCUCAGCUGAAUUCUGAAGAAGAUGGGACAGAGACUCUGA